ensembl:lncRNA
GUGUCCCCUGGACGUAAUGAUUUUGUCCUCUGAACUGUGUUCUGCACUUCUUCACACCUCUUGAGGACCCUUUGACCGAUCUAGCUGAAUUUCACUCUUUCUUCAGUCCUGAUUCAAGAGGGUUUUUCCAGGACUUUCCCCUUGCUUCCUCCUGUCUUCUCUCCUCCUUCUCCCCCAAUCAUGGAGAAUUUCCAAUCUGAAUUGGAGCUCUGCAGCUGCCUACACUGUUGAAAACUGGCUGCACCAAACCUCCAGAUUAGAGCUGAGUGAAUAGAGUGUGCUGCCUCAGAGGUGCUGUGUGACUUCACUGCCAGUGCAAUUAAACAUUGACAGCAACCUCUGCAUGUGUCACAGGAGCUGCCCCACUCUGUGAUGGCUGCCAAAGAAGGAAGGAACAAGGGAGUGGGAAGAAAUUUAAUGAAAGGG